rnacentral:rRNA from 1 species
CGUAGGUAACCUGCCUGGUAGCGGGGGAUAACUAUUGGAAACGAUAGCUAAUACCGCAUAAUAGUAGAUGUUGCAUGACAUUUGCUUAAAAGGUGCAAUUGCAUCACUACCAGAUGGACCUGCGUUGUAUUAGCUAGUUGGUGGGGUAACGGCUCACCAAGGCAACGAUACAUAGCCGACCUGAGAGGGUGAUCGGCCACACUGGGACUGAGACACGGCCCAG